AGCAGUAGCCGCGGUAAUACAGAGGAUGCAAGCGUUAUCCGGAAUGAUUGGGCAUAAGGCGUCUGUAGGUGGCUUUUCAAGUCCGCCGUCAAAUCCCAGGGCUCAACCCUGGACAGGCGGUGGAAACUACCAAGCUGGAGUACGAUAGGGGCAGAGGGAAUUUCCGGUGUAGCGGUGAAAUGCGUAGAUAUCGGAAGGAACACCUGUGGCGAAAGCGGCUCACUGGACUAUAACUGACGCUGAUGCACGAAAGCUAGGGGAGCAAACAGGAUUAGAUACCCCUGUAGUCCCUGUCUCUUAUAC
rnacentral:rRNA from 1 species